rnacentral:tRNA from 1 species
GGCGCGGUGGACGAAUUUGGGAGAGUCACCGGGUUUUCACCCCGGAAAGUGCGGGUUCGAGUCCCGUCCGCGCUU